CACAUAAUUAAUAACACAGGGUUUAUUAAACCGGUUUAUUGUAAGCCACCUAAUUAAUAACACAGGGUUUAUUAAACCGGUUUAUUGUAAGCCACCUAAUUAAUAACACAGGGUUUAUUAAACCGGUUUAUUGUAAGCCACCUAAUUAAUAACAGGGUUUAUUAAACCGAUUUAUUGUAAGCCACACGCAAGAUAAAUAACACAGGGUUCAUUAAACCGAUUUAUUGCGAGGCAUGGGUACAGUUCCACAUAAUAAAAAUUUGUGUUUAAACUAAAAGAAAUUUGUUUAGAUUGAAAUUAUUGUUC